CAGUCGCCGCGGUAAUACGAAGGGUGCAAGCGUUACUCGGAAUUACAGGGCGUAAAGCGUGCGUAGGUGGUGGUUUAAGUCCGUUGUGAAAGCCCUGGGCUCAACCUGGGAAUUGCAGUGGAUACUGGGUCACUAGAGUGUGGUAGAGGAUAGUGGAAUUUCCGGUGUAGCAGUGAAAUGCGUAGAGAUCGGAAGGAACAUCUGUGGCGAAGGCGACUAUCUGGGCCAACACUGACACUGAGGCACGAAAGCGUGGGGAGCAAACAGGAUUAGAUACCCCCGUAGUCCCUGUCUCUUAUAC
rnacentral:rRNA from 1 species